rnacentral:rRNA from 1 species
GAUGAACGCUGGCGGCGUGCCUAAUACAUGCAAGUCGAGCGAAGCGGGGGCGGGUGAGUAACACGUGGAUAACCUCCUAUAAGGCUGGGGUACCUUCCGGAACCCGGAGAUACAACGGAUUCUUAUAGAUGGUGCCGGGCUGCAUUAGCUAUUUGGUACGGUAACGGCUUACCAAGGCGACGAUGCAUAGCCGACCUGAGAGGUGGAUCGGCCACACUGGAACUGAGACACGGUCCAGACUCCUACGUGAGGCAGCAGUAGGUAAUCUUCCGCAAUGGGCGAAAGCCUGACGCAGCAAUGCCGCGUGUGUGAUGAAGGUCUUCGGAUCGUAAAACUCUUUUAUUAGGGAAGCGUUACCUAAUCAGAAAGCAACGGCUAACUCCGUGCCAGCAGCCGCGGUAAUAC